rfam:Gossypium raimondii Chr08_contig_683, whole genome shotgun sequence.
AGGCCAUAAUGCGGACAUCUCUGGAUCAACAUCUUAAAUCACUCCCAAGCUUCGUGAAAACUAUCUCCUUCUAGUUGCUUAAACCUGACAAUCUCUCUCCUGAGUUU